AUGAACGCUAGCGACAGGCUUAACACAUGCAAGUCGAGGGGCAGCAUAAAAGUAGCAAUACUUGGUGGCGACCGGCGCACGGGUGAGUAACGCGUAUGCAACCUACCUAUCAGAGGGGAAUAACCCGGCGAAAGUCGGACUAAUACCGCAUAAAACAGGGACACCGCAUGGUGAUAUUUGUUAAAGAAAUUCGCUGAUAGAUGGGCAUGCGUUCCAUUAGGUAGUUGGUGAGGUAACGGCUCACCAAGCCGACGAUGGAUAGGGGAACUGAGAGGUUGGUCCCCCACACUGGUACUGAGACACGGACCAGACUCCUACGGGAGGCAGCAGUGAGGAAUAUUGGUCAAUGGACGAGAGUCUGAACCAGCCAAGUCGCGUGCAGGAAGAAUGUCCUAUGGAUUGUAAACUGCUUUUGCAGGGGAAUAAAGUGCAUCACGUGUGAUGUUUUGUAUGUACUCUGCGAAUAAGGAUCGGCUAACUCCGUGCCAGCAGCAGC
rnacentral:rRNA from 1 species